CUUUUAAUUGAGGGCUGGAAUGAAUGGUUUGCCCAAAUAUUAACUGUCUCUGUACAAUAUAUAGAAUUUAACUUUUGAGUCAAAAGGCUUAAAUGAAUAUGAAAGACGAGAAGACCCUAUAGAUCUUUAUAUGAUUAAUGUAAUUAUUUAUUUAGUUGUGUUGAUUAUAGUUAUGUUAUUGUAUUUUGUUGGGGUGACAUGAAGAUAAAAAUAACUCUUUAUAAUGGAAACAUUGAUUUAUGAUUAUUGAUCCGUUAUUAGCGAUUAUAAGAUAAAGUUACCUUAGGGAUAACAGCGUAAUUUUUUUUGAGAGUUCAUAUCGACAAAAAAGAUUGCGACCUCGA
rnacentral:rRNA from 1 species